CGAACGCUGGCGGCGUGCUUAACACAUGCAAGUCGAACGGAAAGGCCCUGCUUUUGUGGGGUGCUCGAGUGGCGAACGGGUGAGUAACACGUGAGUAACCUGCCCUUGACUUUGGGAUAACUUCAGGAAACUGGGGCUAAUACCGGAUAGGAGCUCCUGCUGCAUGGUGGGGGCUGGAAAGUUUCGGCGGUUGGGGAUGGACUCGCGGCUUAUCAGCUUGUUGGUGGGGUAGUGGCUUACCAAGGCUUUGACGGGUAGCCGGCCUGAGAGGGUGACCGGCCACAUUGGGACUGAGAUACGGCCCAGACUCCUACGGGAGGCAGCAGUGGGGAAUAUUGCACAAUGGGCGGAAGCCUGAUGCAGCGACGCCGCGUGCGGGAUGACGGCCUUCGGGUUGUAAACCGCUUUCGCCUGUGACGAAGCGUGAGUGACGGUAAUGGGUAAAGAAGCACCGGCUAACUACGUG
rnacentral:rRNA from 1 species